AGCAGGCCCAGGUCAGCGUCUGCGGCUGGCUGACAUUUCCAUGCCACGCUCUGUGGCCAGGCCGGGCAGAACCAUGUGUGGCCUCUCGUUCCUGACAGCCUCCCAACGCGAGACAUGGGCUGCCAACAAGCUAUAAUUAGGGACACUUUGAUCCUCAGAGCUGCUGAUGGAGAAACUGUGGGAAAUGCCUCAUCGCUCCCACCAACAACAGAAGGAAGCAAAGUGCACGGCACCAAGCCCAAACCUACGGAGCCAAGCCUCCAGAGUGCCACCACGGCCAGCACUGCCAGGCGUCGCUGAACACCCCACUGUACCUACAUGCAAGAUAAAUUUGAACAUCUUAAAAGUGGAUUAAACAACUCAGGAGCA